rnacentral:rRNA from 1 species
ACGAACGCUGGCGGCAGGCCUAACACAUGCAAGUCGAGCGAGCAUUUCGGUGCUAGCGGCGGACGGGUGAGUAACGCGUGGGAACGUGCCCUUUUCUGCGGAAUAGUCCUGGGAAACUGGGGGUAAUACCGCAUACGCCCUUUUGGGGAAAGAUUUAUCGGAGAAGGAUCGGCCCGCGUUGGAUUAGGUAGUUGGUGGGGUAAUGGCCCACCAAGCCGACGAUCCAUAGCUGGUUUGAGAGGAUGAUCAGCCACACUGGGACUGAGACACGGCCCAGACUCCUACGGGAGGCAGCAGUGGGGAAUCUUAGACAAUGGGGGCAACCCUGAUCUAGCCAUGCCGCGUGAGUGAUGAAGGCCUUAGGGUUGUAAAGCUCUUUCAGCUGGGAAGAUAAUGACGGUACCAGCAGAAGAAGCCCCGGCUAACUCCGU